rnacentral:rRNA from 1 species
GUACACUCCUACGGGAGGCAGCAGUGGGGAAUAUUGCACAAUGGGCGCAAGCCUGAUGCAGCCAUGCCGCGUGUAUGAAGAAGGCCUUCGGGUUGUAAAGUACUUUCAGCGGGGAGGAAGGCGAUAAGGUUAAUAACCUUGUUGAUUGACGUUACCCGCAGAAGAAGCACCGGCUAACUCCGUGCCAGCAGCCGCGGUAAUACGGAGGGUGCAAGCGUUAAUCGGAAUUACUGGGCGUAAAGCGCACGCAGGCGGUCUGUCAAGUCGGAUGUGAAAUCCCCGGGCUCAACCUGGGAACUGCAUUCGAAACUGGCAGGCUAGAGUCUUGUAGAGGGGGGUAGAAUUCCAGGUGUAGCGGUGAAAUGCGUAGAGAUCUGGAGGAAUACCGGUGGCGAAGGCGGUCCCCUGGACAAAGACUGACGCUCAGGUGCGAAAGCGUGGGGAGCAAACAGGAUUAGAAACCCCAGUAGUCCCA